rnacentral:rRNA from 1 species
AUGGGGCUGCUGGCGCUCAAGCGCCUCGUGUCCGUGCGGCAGGACCGGAAGACUCGAUCCCGUUGUGGUACGUCGAUUGCGCCGGUGGCCAAGAGAAAGUGCUCGCCCUGUCAACAACAAGACGAUACUCGUCAUCAAGCUGCCAAAAGGAGGAGGCGCUCAGUGCCAGAGCUUCCAAAGGACAUAUGGGAUCAUAUACUUUCCUUGCUGCCACUGCGGGAUGCUGCUCGAGCUGGUUGUGUAUCUCGCGCGUUAUCAAGUUCCUGGACACGCCUUCCCAACCUCACCUUCACAAGGGAAACACUCGGCCUGACUGGAAAUGCAUGUCGAAAACGUGAACUUGCACGAACUUUCGAAAACAGAGUUUACCGCGUUUUGAGAAAACACUCGGGCGGUGGUGUGAAGACAUUCAAGCUUCAUCACUGUGGUUCUGGUUUCAACAUUCGUGAUCUGAACAGGUGGCUUCAGAUUGCCGUUACUCCGGGGAUUGAAGAAGUCGUACUUUCAGUGCUAAUGAUGUUCAAUACGCCAAUCUUACCUGUCAAAUUCCUCUACCUCAAGAACUUGCGGAUUUUUCUUCAUGAUCGAGCGAUGAAGGGCUUUUCCCCAGGCUAUGAUUAUUUUUCUCUCGUUUCUUUUCUGGAUGCUUGUCCUGUGUUGGAGAAUUUUGUCUUGGCUGUAUUACAGGCUAGCGUAAGGCAUGAAUUGAUUUCCGGAGACCCACAUCUGAGGCAGAUGCCAGAACACCGGCAUGGCAAUAUCAAGAAUGUGACGAUCAAGGGCUUUUGCGCUGCAAAGAGCAUGGUCGAGCUAACCUGUCAUAUUCUUGAGAAUGCAACAUCACUCGAGUGCCUUACGUUGGACACCAUAUGUGAUGAUGGCUCUGAAGACCUUGAUAGGACUUUUGACGACGGAAUUGCUAGAUGCUGCUACACAGUGUUAGACUGGGGUAUGCUCGACGAAGGCUAUAGAGGGCUCAGGGCUAUCGAAAGAUACAUUGUGGGGAAAGUUCCCUCCACGGUCAAGCUAAAUGUUUACAAGCUCAGCAGCCGUCGCUAUGCUAUAAAACCGUAUGAAUAUAGUUAUGCCAAUUAUCUAUCCUAG